ACUCCUACGGGAGGCAGCAGUGGGGAAUAUUGCACAAUGGGCGAAAGCCUGAUGCAGCAACGCCGCGUGAGGGAUGACGGCCUUCGGGUUGUAAACCUCUUUUAGUAGGGAAGAAGCGAAAGUGACGGUACCUGCAGAAAAAGCACCGGCUAACUAACGUGCCAGCAGCCGCGGUAAUACGUAGGUGCAAGCGUUGUCCGGAAUUAUUGGGCGUAAAGAGCUCGUAGGCGGUUUGUCGCGUCUGCUGUGAAAUCCCGAGGCUCAACCUCGGGCUUGCAGUGGGUACGGGCAGACUAGAGUCGGUAGGGAGAUUGGAAUCCUGGUGUAGCGGUGAAUGCGCAGAUAUCAGGAGGAACACCGAUGGCGAAGGCAGAUCUCUGGGCCGUAACUGACGCUGAGGAGCGAAAGCGUGGGGAGCCGAACAGGAUUAGAUACCCUGGUAGGCUCUGC
rnacentral:rRNA from 1 species